UACGGAGGGUGCAAGCGUUAUCCGGAUUCACUGGGUUUAAAGGGUGCGUAGGUGGGAAGGUAAGUCAGUGGUGAAAUCCCCGAGCUUAACUUGGGAACUGCCAUUGAUACUAUCUUUCUUGAAUACCUUGGAGGUGAGCGGAAUAUGUCAUGUAGCGGUGAAAUGCUUAGAUAUGACAUAGAACACCAAUUGCGAAGGCAGCUCACUACACGGUCAUUGACACUGAGGCACGAAAGCGUGGGGAUCAAACGGG
rnacentral:rRNA from 1 species